AUGCAGGUCCUGGAAGGGCACCUCUACACAAGGACGCUGCAGGCCAUGGACACCAUGCUGCAGGAGAUGCUGCUGGGCUCUCCCCGCGCCGGCGCCGUUCUCCAGGAUGUGCUGGAGGUUUUGCUGGAGUAUUUCUUCUUCGACACCGCGGCCGUGCAGGAAAGAGUGAUGGGCAGGAUUAAAGUGCUGAGCCGUUUUCUGUCCGACUCUUCCAUCGUGCAGACGGGUGGGGAGGAGGAGAGCGGCGCUGCCGGCGGAGAGAUCCCGGCGCUGGGCAAGCUGCUGGGCCAUCUCUUCUUGAAGUUGUUGAGGAAAGAGGAGAGCAGCGGGACGGUGGUGGAGAUCCUCUGCUCGCUCAUGACCUUCCUCUCCCGGCAGAAACGCACCAAGCUGCCAGAGGUGCACGCGGAGCUCCCGGCGUUCUGGGAAGCGGAGAUCGCUUCCUACCUGGAUAUGCCCAGCAGCUGGACGGUUCAGGCCUUUGGGAGAUACCUCAGGCCUGCUGAGAGGACAGACAUCAUCCUCACCGCCAUCGAGAUCCUGGGACGCUCCAGCCUCCUGGACAAGCGGGUGCCAAUGGAGUUCCUGGAGGUGGCCAUGAAAUCCCCUGAGCUGUGGCUGGUGGAUGUGCCAAAGGUGGUGAGACACAUCUUCACCUACUGUGACGAGAAAAACGCCACAACCGCUCGCUGCUUCCAUGCCCUGCUCGCCCUCAUGGCCGACCUGUGGCCCGGGCUGGUCGUCACCACAGCUCUGGAGGCCGCGCCGAUACUCAGCGAUAAAGUCUGUCUGUGGGAGGCCAUGUUCUCCGUGCGCCAGUCUCUGGAGAAGGUUCUGAAGGAGCUGCACAUGAAACUCUGGGACCACCAGAAGGAAGUCUUCACUCAGCAGCAGAAGUCCUGCUUCGCUUUCUUGGCUAUGUUGGCCUCUGGAGACGUGCUGGAGAAGAAAGUGGGCUCGUUGUACAAGAGCCUGAAUCUUCUGAGGUCUUCAAGGAUGGAGAUGGUUCCUCUGGUGCUCAGGGCCCUGGUGACGCUGUCGGAGGGUGCCGAAACGGCAAGGAAAAUGAGAGGCCUCCUCCCCGAGCUGCUGAAAUUCCUUUGGCAUUGGUCCUGGGACGUCUCGGUGAUGGCCAUGGACACCUGCCUGAACGUGCUGGGCCAGCUGAGGAGCAGCGAGGCCAGCCCCGUGGUUGCCAAGGUGGUGCAGAACCUCUGGCGGCUCUUCGACGCGGAGCAGGAGCGCGUGCGGGAGCGCUCCAUCCGCCUCUUCCGAGAGCUGCUGGGCAAAACGGCCUGGAGCGACGGCAGCGCCGUCCGCAGAAACUCCUGGAACGUUCUGGUGCCGCUGGUGCUGCACAUGAGCGACCAGGCCCCCGGCGUGGCCAAGGUACGGCCUGGAAAUUCACAUGAGCUGGGCCCUUCUUUAUGAAAUUCAGCUGUAAAAUAAUAAUGUGGAGUUAAAUAAUAAUGUGGAGUUAAAUAAUAAUGUGGAGUUAAAUGAUAAUGUGGAGUUAAAUAAUAAUGUGGAGUUAAAUAAUAAUGUGGAGUUAAAUAAUAAUGUUAAAGUUAAAUAAUUAUGUGGAGUUAAAUAAUAAUGUGGAGUUAAAUAAUUAUAUUAAAUUCACG
ensembl:lncRNA uncharacterized LOC111922613